AACGAACGCUGGCGGCAUGCCUAACACAUGCAAGUCGAACGAGACCGUCGGGUCUAGUGGCGCACGGGUGCGUAACGCGUGGGAACCUGCCCUUAGGUUCGGAAUAACUCCCCGAAAGGGGUGCUAAUACCGGAUAAUGUCUUCGGACCAAAGAUUUAUCGCCUUUGGAUGGGCCCGCGUUGGAUUAGCUAGUUGGUAGGGUAAAAGCCUACCAAGGCGACGAUCCAUAGCUGGUCUGAGAGGAUGAUCAGCCACACUGGGACUGAGACCCGGCCCAGAAUCCUACGGGAGGCAGCAGUGGGGAAUAUUGGACAAUGGGCGCAAGCCUGAUCCAGCAAUGCCGCGUGAGUGAUGAAGGCCUUAGGGUUGUAAAGCUCUUUUACCCGGGAUGAUAAUGACAGUACCGGGAGAAUAAGCUCCGGCUAACUCCGUG
rnacentral:rRNA from 1 species